AAUCCAUGAUGAGGGCAAUUGACACACAACUUCUUAUAUCUCUCUCAAGAUUGGUAGAAAUUUUCAUCUUUUUGUUGUUGAAAGGCGGCAAUCUUUUGUCUUCCCUU
rnacentral:snoRNA from 1 species